AGAGUUUGAUCCUGGCUCAGAACGAACGCUGGCGGCAGGCUUAACACAUGCAAGUCGAGCGCCCCGCAAGGGGAGCGGCAGACGGGUGAGUAACGCGUGGGAAUCUACCGAGCCCUGCGGAAUAGCUCCGGGAAACUGGAAUUAAUACCGCAUACGCCCUACGGGGGAAAGAUUUAUCGGGGUUUGAUGAGCCCGCGUUGGAUUAGCUAGUUGGUGGGGUAAAGGCCUACCAAGGCGACGAUCCAUAGCUGGUCUGAGAGGAUGAUCAGCCACAUUGGGACUGAGACACGGCCCAAACUCCUACGGGAGGCAGCAGUGGGGAAUAUUGGACAAUGGGCGCAAGCCUGAUCCAGCCAUGCCGCGUGAGUGAUGAAGGCCCUAGGGUUGUAAAGCUCUUUCAACGGUGAAGAUAAUGACGGUAACCGUAGAAGAAGCCCCGGCUAACUUCGUG
rnacentral:rRNA from 1 species